CCCCUUUACUUCCAUGCUUUCACCACUCUCAAUACGAUUACACUUACCCACUACCCUCACUUGCACACCUCAAAAUAUAUAAACCCACAAAAAUACCACAUACACACACUUCUAUACAUCUGUGUACAUCGAUAUAUUCUCUUGUCCAUCCGUAUACAUCUAUAUAUGCACAUGCCACUCCUCCUCCCUUCUUUGCUCCUUCCGUGGAACCACAUUACCACCUGGUCCCUAACCUUGUCACUAGUUUAUCUCUUCGAGUCACUUUUUCUUUUUCACUCUCCUCUAUUAUUUUCCUUCUGAUUGUUUUUUAAAUAUUUAUAUUGCCGUGCAAAUGAAUACGAAACUGUGAGCCACUAGCUAACCCCUAAUGCUGUGUGUGGAACAAGUCAUUUAAUUACUUCUUUGCCAACUAUAUUUCAUUGGACAAAUUAUUUUUGCUGACGUUAGAUAUUUCUGUAUAAACGUCAUUAAAUAUAAAUGAAUUUCAGAAACUGACCCAUCUAAAUUCAGUUUAUUCACACCUUAUGGAAUCAUAUCAAGUAAGUAUUCUUAAUAUAUCUAACACAAACGCAUCAAUGACAUUUUCAGUGUUUAAAAUCGUUUUUAUAUUUGAAUUAUUACAAUAUUUAAUGAUCUUUAAGUGAUAAGGCUGCAAUCAUUAUAUAUAUAUAUAUAUAUACCUUUCUAUAUCUAUAUCUAUAUAUAUAUAUAUAUAUAUAUCAGGAAAUUAUAAUUCAGUGUCGAACUUGUUGAUCAUUUGCAGGUGCGACAACACAAUGUUCAUUGAACUAAUAGUAUUGAUAAUUGAGGGCAUUCCAGUCUUAGAAAUACAAAGAGGUGAAUGAGCUUUUUGCUCUGUUUUGGACAUAGGUUUCUUCCUCGUUGUUAAUACAUUUCUUGCCAAUAGUCUUAGAAAUUUAUUAUUUAUUUCCAUACAAUUUUACAUAUUUACACACGUCUGUGGUUGUCGACGAUACCAUUAUCAUUUAACGUCUAUACACAGGAGUACAUAACUCACACGCACAAAUAUAUUUGUGUUUAGAUAUUCCUUUUUCUUUUGGUUUCUGGAAGAAUUUGUCUAAUGAAUCGAACCCAGUUUUUUUUUAAAGCCUGGUAACUUAUUCUAUUCUAUUAAUUUGCCGAACAGCUAGAUUACGGGGACGUAAACACACCGGUUGUCAAACGGGGUGGUGCAGACAUACAGAGUCACGCACACAUCUGUAUGUAUGUAUGUAUGUGUGUGUAUAUAUAUAUAUAUAUAUAUGGCGAUGCUUCGGUAUAUGUACACACGUGACUUUGUUUACAUUUCUGAAACCCUUUUCUGCCACCCCUAACCCUAACACCCCAUAUAUAAAAAAAAACAACACUUUUUUGAAAUGUAUCCGGUACUUACACCGGUACAUAUAUAUAUACAUAUAUCACGUGAUCAUGUGACCGACCAGGCUAUCAGAUGUUGCUACACAUCGCUGGUCACAAUGCGCUUCGCAUUGUUUUAACCUUCAAAUGACGCCACCCUGCUGGCUAUGCUACUUGAAGCUUUUGUGGAAGACAACUGGAGGUUCCUACAGGACAACCUGUUGGGGGCUACUGACCAGAACUGUGGCUGGUACAAAGUCCCAUCUUGACCUAAGGUAACAUGGUGGUGGAACAAUGUAAAUAAACCUUAGUGCUUGGCUUUCGUAGAUAUGGAGAAAGUCUUUGACAGAGUCCUCCAAUCACUUAUCUGGUGGUCAAUGUGGAAACUAGGGAUAGAUGAGUGGUUGUUGAGAGCUGUACAAGCCCAGUAUAGGGAUACUAUCAGUAAGGUGAGGGUUGGCAACAAGUACAGUGAAGAAUCAGGGGUUCACCAAGGAUCAGUCCUCAGCUCCCUCUUCUUCAUCAUAGUCUUCCAGGCAAUAACAGAGGAAUUUAAGACAGGAUGCCCCUGGGAGCUCUUCUUUGCUGAUGACUUUACUCUAAUAGCUGAGUGACUACAAGAACUAGAGAAGUUUCAGGUGUAAAAGCAAGGUCUAGAAUCGAAGGGCCUUAGAGUCAAUCUAACAAAAACCAAAGUCUUAGUAAGUAGAAAGGCAGACAAACCACAAAUUCCUUCAGGUAGAUGGCCCUGCUCAAUCUAUAGAAAAGGCAUAGGUAGAAACUCCAUAAGAUGUACCCAGUGUAAGCUAUGGACGCAUAAGAGGUGCUGCAAUAUCAAAGGAAGAUUAUUUGGGAAGAUAGUUUUUGUGUGUGGAAGAUGCACAGGGGCAAUAAACACCAAAGAUGUACAGAAAAUAGAUUCUAUAACUUGCCAGGGGGAAAAAAAUAGUAGUAGUUGAUAGUUCCAUUACCUAGGUAACCAAGUCUGUAGCAGGGUUGAGAGUGUAGCUGCUUUAAUAAGAAUAACCUGGGCAGAGUUCAGAGAGCUCCUACCUCUGCUAGUAACAAAGGACCACUCAUUUACAGCUAAGAACUUUAUAGCGGCAACCACUAGACAGAACACACCCAAAGGAAAACCUACAUGUUGGCUUCCUCACUAAAACAGUUGUAUCAGAUUUUAAUGUAAAAAGAAAAGGAAAAAAAUUGUUGGGUGUGCACACAUACAUACUGAUACACAUCGCAAUUUUUUCACAAUUCAACUUACUUUUUGUAGAUAUAUGUGUAAUGUCUAUCUGUCUGCAUGCAUGAAUGUGCAUCCUCACAUAAUUAUAUGGAGUCCAGGAAAAAAGUCACCAUUUUUUCAUGAUCUCAAUUUACUUAAGAAAUUGAAUAAAAAACUUUUUCCUAUAUAUAUAAAAAUUGUGUAUCAGUCAUGUAUUAUCAGUUAAUAACUGAUUUAAUAUAUAUUUUUUGUUUUAUUAUUUCAAUUGCUUAUAGUAAUGAAAUAAAAUGUGACUUUGCUUUGAGAGUCUUUUUCCAGCUACCGAAUUAAUGCUAAAUUUUUAUUGUUUUUUCUAGUGACCAAUGAAGAUUCAUUUUGAAUGAAAUAUAAGCCAAAGAAGUGUUUAGUCGUAGUGUAACAUGACUGAAUACACCUGUGAUUGAUUAAAGCUCUUUUAGUUGUGACUAUCCUAUAUAUUUAUAUCCAGAACUAUGUUAACACAUGUAUCCUUCCUUUUUUAUGAUGAUGGAUUUUUGGUGGGGAGGGAUUGCUUACUAUAGAGGUAUGUGAUUUUUAUUUUGCUGGGUGAUGUAUUUGGAUUUAGCAUGGGUUGGAUGCGUAGAUGUUUUAAAUUUUGCAAGGGACCUUUCACCCAUAUUACUGGUGUUUAUAACCCAUUAG
rnacentral:lncRNA from 1 species